GUGGAUGGUCUUUGGACAGAAUGGUAAUGUGCUAAGAUGUUUCGUGAUAUAGUUCGUUGAUGCGAAGCCAGUUUCAUUGUGGCUUUGAGUUGCACAUUUUACUCUUCCUUUCUUGAUUUAGAAACAAUUUUACAUGCAUUUGAGAUAUUAGAUGCAUUUGUGUUUUACAUGUUUAUUGGGACUAUGGGAUGCCUCUGUGAAACGUAUAUGCAAUAAUUGGUUCAUGAAUGGUAUUGAACGUUGUAUGCUGGGAGUGCUUUGUCAUCAUGGGCGACACCUUUGUGUUUCUAUGUUUCCUUUGCUGGGGACUUCUUAUGUAGUAAGAAUUUUUUAAGUAUAUGUUGGUUAGAAGACCACAACAUUCAUUUAGACUUGUGCUAGCUCAUGUUGUACUGAAUGCAUCAUUUUCUGUACUGAUUCAAACUUGUUCUUGCCUCAGGUGAUCAUUUUCUUUUCAAUUUUUCUUUGAGACCUGUUUAAUAAACACUCUUUCUGUGAAGUCAUUUCCAAAGUGACCUUCUACACUCUUUUUGGUUAUUCCUAUAUUUUCACCAGAAAGACAUGCUGUUGUGCAGCAAAUAUCUAAUGGAACUUAUUUCA